AAGUGGGCCUAAAAGCAGCCACCUUACAAAAAGCGUUAAAGCUUCAUUGGUUUAAAUUAAAAAUUCCAUUAAAUUUUUUACAACCCUUAAUCUGUACUGAAUGAUCUCAUAAUAUUAUGAGAGCCUAUAUGUUAGAACUAGUAACAAGAAGAAGUCCUUCUCCAAAAUGUAAGCAUGAGCCAAAAUGAACAAUUCAUUGGCAAUUAAAGUUAAAUAUUUAUUGUAGUAACCCAACAAGAAAAACCUACUAAUUAUUAGCGUCAACCUUACACUAGUACAUUUCUGGAAAGAUUAAAAGAAUGGGAAGGAACUCGGCAAAUAAUUAACCCCGCCUGUUUACCAAAAACAUCGCCUCCUGAUAUUUUAUAGGAGGUCCAGCCUGCCCAGUGACAAAGUUAAACGGCCGCGGUACCCUAACCGUGCAAAGGUAGCGCAAUCACUUGUUCUUUAAAUGAGGACUAGUAUGAACGGCAUCACGAGGGUUAUGCUGUCUCCCCACUCUAUUCAGUGAAACUGAUUUUCCCGUGAAGAAGCGGGAAUAAAAAUAUAAGACGAGAAGACCCCAUGGAGCUUUAAACUCAGUAUCAACUGCCUAACUAAAAAACCUUAUAUUUUGCAGCCAUGCUUACUAGAUUUCGGUUGGGGUGACCACGGAGUAAAACUAAACCUCCAUGAUGAAAGGAACUAAUAACCUAACCUAUGAGUUACAGCUCUAAGUAUCAACAAAUUGACUAAAUUGACCCAAUUACUUGAUCAACAAACCAAGUUACCCUGGGGAUAACAGCGCAAUCCAUUUCAAGAGCUCAUAUCGACAAAUGGGUUUACGACCUCGAUGUUGGAUCAGGGUAUCCCAGUGGCGCAGCUGCUACUAACGGUUC
rnacentral:rRNA from 1 species